UGCAUUCCUAACCUGAAACACGUUACAUUUGAUAAUUUCAACGUGUGUUUCUGUGUAGUAUACCACGGAAUAUUUUUUUUAUUUAUCCAAGAUCUCUAACUGGAGCUUUAUUUACAGAAAUGAUGGGAGGGCUGGCAGCGAUGUGAGUGAGGAGGACGCCACCGGCGGAGUCACUGGCAGUAGUGCUGACGGAGUGACAAGAGAAGAAAGUAGUGCCAGUGGAAGAGGAGAUGGAGCAGGAAAAAAAGCAUUAGUACCGCCGCCACCGCCAGCAGGAGGAAGGGGGAGAGGCGGCCCCAGGAAGUACAACAUCCCAGCAGUGAGCUGAAGAAGCUUGACCAACUGUUUGUUUCCGAGGACGACAAGGUGACGUAUGAUCGCCGCCAGACGCCUUCUUACCCAGCAGAUACAGAGGUUCAUCAUGUACGUAUAUGUGCAGCACGGGAUGAAGGCGGUGGAGUGGCGGCGGCUGAGGGUAAUAUUGUCUGGUUGGUGAAUCGAGGAAGCGUCGGGACAAGUACAGAGCAGGCAGUGGCGGACGGGAGAGUUUGUGUUCUCCAAACCCAACGAUGUAUCCUGAGGGACUCCACUCCGGCACACUUUCAUCUCGCCUCUCAUUCCUGGAACUUUAAUCAGUGAAGAACCUCGGGUGGAGACAAACUUGUCCUCUAACCUUAAUUAAGAAGCACUCCCACUGACCUGGCCCUCGUUGUGUGUGUGUGCCCUGUCUGAGGCUUCACAAAGUGCUUCGAAACUCGUCCAGAACCAGAGGCAGUGAACACAGACUCGAUGAACCCUUGUCGGCCAUGCAGAGGCAAACGACCGAGCUCAUUGUGACCCUCGUGUUUGUGCCUCUCUGUGUGCUGGCCUGGCAUUCUGUGUGGACGUGGCGGUGUUGUCUACACUGGUGGUGGUGAUGGUGAUAGCGAUGGUGAAUGUGCGGGACUGUGGUGGUGAUGAUGAUGGUAUUUGCGGUUGCAGCAUCCAGGAAUCGUGGUGGUGAUGGUGGUUGUUAUGGUGGUAAGUGAAUUUUAGGAAGUUUUAAUUAUUUUAUCUUUUACGUUUACUUUUCCCCCGUAAUCGUUAUUCAAAGUGAGUGCAAAUUUUUUAAAUGAGAGGAAGACACAUACACACCAUUGUGAACCUAGAUGAAUGCAGCGUUAGGUUAAUGAUGAUGAACAAUUUCCUUCCCGUUUGCCUUAAUUAACUUAUACCUGCCUCUCUCUCUCUCUCUCUCUCUCUCUCUCUCUCUCUCUCUCUCUCUCUCUCUCUCUCUCUCUCUCUCUUACGCGUGAUGAAUAAGAGGAUUUUACCGGAUUUAAUCGAGUUUUAAGUUUCAUCUUCACUGCAAUAUUUCUGGUUAACCUCGUGACCACCUUUCAACCUGAGAUCAGUAACCUUUGUUGGCUGUGGAUGAAUAGUCGGUGUAAUGAAGUGGUGGACGUGAGGCCUCACUUUACGCUUUACGCUGACGCCUGGGUGGUUUUUGAAUGCUCUAAAUCAUCUACGUUUUUUGGCUAGAUGCUUCAGCUUCCUUGGUUGUGUGUCUAAGUCGUAGAAUAUAACGUGUGUGUGUGUGUGUGUGUAUGUGUGUGUUUCUCGUCUUCGUAAGUUUUCGGCUUCCCUUCGUGGUCAUAAUGAAACAG